rnacentral:rRNA from 1 species
AGCAGCCGCGGUAAUUCCAGCUCCAAUAGCGUAUAUUAAAGUUGUUGCAGUUAAAAAGCUCGUAGUUGAAUUUCGAGAUCAAAUUGUUGGUCGUGCCUCGGUACGUACUGGCAUUAUUGAUUUCUCCCUUCUGAAGAACCACGAUGUCAUUAAUUUGGUGUCGUGGGGAAUCAGGACUGUUACUUUGAAAAAAUUAGAGUGUUUAAAGCAGGCUCACGCUUGAAUACAUUAGCAUGGAAUAAUGAAAUAGGACGUUUGAUUCUAUUUUGUUGGUUUCUAGGAUCGACGUAAUGAUUAAUAGGGAUAGUUGGGGGCAUUAGUAUUCAAUUGUCAGAGGUGAAAUUCUUGGAUUUAUUGAAGACUAACUACUGCGAAAGCAUUUGCCAAGGAUGUUUUCAUUAAUCAAGAACGAAAGUUAGGGGAUCGAAGACGAUCAGAUACCGUCGUAGUCUUAACCACAAACUAUGCCGACUAGGGAUCGGAUGAUGUUAAUUUUUAAUGA